CGCCAGCAACCCUUUGCUCGGAUCGUCCGGCACGUUCCUGCCGGUGAAGGGAUGGAGCU
rfam:Actinopolymorpha singaporensis strain DSM 22024 genome assembly, chromosome: I